GUCCCUUUAGCGCAAUGGACAGCGCGUUGGACUUCUAAUCCAAAGACUGUGGGCUCGAAUCUCACCUGGGAUG